AGUAUAUAAUAAUUAUGAAAGCAAAAAAUUAUGGCGGUAUUUUAAGCUUUUCAGAGGAAUUUGCUCUUUAAUGGAUAAAACACCUAAAUCUUACUUAAAUUUGUCAAAACAAUUUGUAUACCACUAUUAAAAUAAUUAUUAACUUUAAUUAUUAAGAUUUACAAUAAAUACAAAAAAUUAAGUCAAGGUGCAGUAUAAGUUUAAGAAUGAAGUGAAUUACAUUUCUUUUAAGAGAAUAAAAAAUUAAAAAUAAAUUAGGAUUUGAAAGUAAAAUUAAAAUAGAAUGUUAAUUUGAAUUAAGCUCUAAAAUAU
rnacentral:rRNA from 1 species